GAUGUCACAGAAGUACAUGUGGAAAUAUGGCGCUGUCAAUGCUACGUGACGGACUCUACUGCGCUAUGGGACUAAUGAACAACUGAUUAAGGACAGGUGUGGGUGCUUUCGGAAAAGGGUAGAAAAGGCAGAGGAGAAACAGCAAAAGGGGAAAGGAACACGGACACAAAAGGAGCCAAGGGAUUACGUAUAAACAGUCUUUCACCGGGACGGGCAUCGGAAGGUUACGGACGAGUGGGAACCCGGACAGACGGAAGGAAAGAUCACCGUACAACGCGCAUAACAGCUAAGUUGAAGGGACGUGCUCAACUUACCUGUGCGGGUGGGAUCUUUACUGUAGUGGGUGGCAAUCAGAGGAUGACUGUGUUGCUUCCCUGUCGCAGCCAGGAAGAGGAUCACGGACUCGAUGGUGGACGGGCACCGCAGGGCUCGUCGCAUUGAAGCUACAGAGCCACGCUUGAGGGACAGCUCGAGUCGCUCGCUCCAUCUGACGCAGCACGAUCACUAUACAGCCCGUGACCAGAUAAGUUGAAGCCGACGAGAAGAGGACCGCAGACGGACUACGUAUAGACUGGACUUCAGAGCAGCGCUGGAGUGACAGAUCCAUCUGGCUGCUCUACCUGGCGCAGCGCCCUCUGGUGGAUGGUGGACUCGGACAACGUUAACCAAAGAAAAGGGAAUACAUACGGAUGGCAGGAGCGAGAUGCAGAUGGAACUGAGGAUGGAGAUGAUUUCCUAUUGGACCAACUCCUGGUUGGUCUACGUGUGGGGCCCAUCAAACAGGAGUUAAACCGCCAGCUUCGGCGAGGUGAACCCUUAAGUUUCAGUACGGCCUGCAAAGAAGCGCGAGCCCUCGAACUGGAACUUCAAGAAGGAGAGGAGGUUGCCUUUGCAUGUAGGGUCAUAGCCCCACCACGGAAUGACGGGGGUAACCUGGAACAACUGAGAAGCCAGCUACGCCAGGAAUUACAACAGGGCUUAAUGGUGGAGGUCCGCGAACAGAUGAAGGCUCUUUCGACUAGCCUGAUGGAGGAGGUCAAAACUCAUCUAACAGCCAUGGAACGACCACCAAAUCCCAGUACUAGACCCAUGUAUGGUCCUGCAGCCCCAGCAUAUGUGCCUCAGGCAAGACGACAAGCAACCAGGCCAACUUACCAGUGGGAUGCAGAGGGCCGGCCCAUUUGUUUGGGCUGUGGCACAGCUGGCCAUGUGCGACGUCUGUGCCCACAUAACCCAUCCAGGUGGCAGGAUUUUUAA
rnacentral:lncRNA from 1 species